AUUGAACGCUGGCGGAAUGCUUUACACAUGCAAGUCGAACGGCAGCACGGACUGCGGUCUGGUGGCGAGUGGCGAACGGGUGAGUAAUGUAUCGGAACGUGCCCAGUCGUGGGGGAUAACGUAGUGAAAAUUACGCUAAUACCGCAUACGAUGUAUGGAUGAAAGCGGGGGAUCGCAAGACGUCGCGCGAUUGGAGCGGUCGAUAUCAGAUUAGGGAGUUGGUGGGGUAAAGGUCCACCAAGCCAACGAUCUGUAGCUGGUCUGAGAGGACGACCAGCCACACUGGAACUGAGACCCGGUCCAGACUCCUACGGGAGGCAGCAGUGGGGAAUUUUGGACAAUGGGCGAAAGCCUGAUCCAGCCAUUCCGCGUGCAGGAUGAAGGCCCUCGGGUUGUAAACUGCUUUUGUACAGAACGAAAAGGUUUCUACUAAUACUAGGAGCUCAUGACGGUACUGUAAGAAUAAGCACCGGCUAACUACGUGCCAGCCGCCGCAGUAA
rnacentral:rRNA from 1 species